AAACUUUCAACAACGGAUCUCUUGGCUCUGGCAUCGAUGAAGAACGCAGCGAAAUGCGAUAAGUAAUGUGAAUUGCAGAAUUCAGUGAAUCAUCGAAUCUUUGAACGCACAUUGCGCCCUCUGGUAUUCCGGGGGGCAUGCCUGUUCGAGCGUCAUU
rnacentral:rRNA from 10 species